GUCAUUCUGAACUAAACGAGAGGGGGCUUCCCUGCAGAGAGGAAACAGAGACGCCUGGUUAAAAUACGCACUGUGUACUUGCAAGACUCUCCAUGCAGUCAUCUCAGAGCUACAGCACCGGAGGAAAAACGCAGCUCCGGGAAGCUUACAGGCAAGCCCGCAGGCGCCCGGCCAGACCACAGGGGGCGCUGGUGCGCGGCGAGCCGAUGACACCCUGGCCGACCUAAACCCGAUCUACACUCAGAGAGAGGUUGAGAAGGUGAUGAUACAUCAGGUUUGAAGUUGUAUAUGUUCCCGCUGAAUUGGGAGAACAUCCGUGUUUUUUGUUCUAUGAAACAAGCAACUAUCAACAAGGGGAGAAGACUGGAAAAAUAAAAAGAACAUCUAUAAAAAAAGAAAAUAAAGAAGAAAAAAAAUCACAACCCUCGCUACUUCAACAGUGAAAUGGUACUGUACGUGGUAGUUUUAAUAAUGAAACAAUGAAACAGUUUUGAUAAUGAUACUGCACAAUAUAAAACAUAACAUCAAAAGGUUUUUGAAGAAGAAAGAAGGAGGGUGUGGCAGAGCAAAGCUCUGCUAUUUUUAAAUUGGCAGGGAUGGGGUUAAUUUCCCCUACC